rnacentral:rRNA from 1 species
UACGGGGGGGGCAAGCGUUGUUCGGAAUUACUGGGCGUAAAGGGCUCGUAGGUGGCCAACUAAGUCACACGUGAAAUCCCUCGGCUUAACCGGGGAACUGCGUGUGAUACUGGAUGGCUUGAGUUUGGGAGAGGGAUGCGGAAUUCCAGGUGUAGCGGUGAAAUGCGUAGAUAUCAGGAGGAACACCGGUGGCGAAGGCGGCUACCUGGACAGAGUCUGACGCUGAGGCACGAAAGCUAGGGGAGCAAACAGG